rnacentral:piRNA from 1 species
UUGGCCUCGACUUAAGUUUUAUGUUGUUUC